CUCCGGUUCCCACUCUCGCUCGCACCACGGCCAAUCGGGAGCCAACACAGGGAUGUGGGGAGAUCAGACUGGACGAGCACAGUGGUUCCUUCUGGCCUUGGAAUCCGUGAAUCUAUGAACCGAACCCGUCCCGUGUUGAGCAGCCGGCGCCGUCUCCAUACAACACUCUGCGGCUUGGGCAGGCCAUCCCCGCUGCUCGGCAUCGCUGCCAAUGCAGAGCCCCUGGCCGGGGUGGCGAGGGACUGUGCCGCACAUGGAGUUCUGCACACCGGUGAUCAUUGAUGCAGCUGUUGAAGAGCACUGGGCCUAGUGCAGAUCCCUGCUGAACCCCCUCCACUCUGCCAGUGACCCAGUUCUUAAUCCAUUGGACUUUUGCCAGAUGUAUAUUGUAUAGGGCUCGUUUCGUAAUCAGAAUGUGGUGCUGUACUAAGUCACACACCUUAAAAAAGUCUGUCUAUUACAUCUACGCUGUUACCUGGAGAGCCAAACCCGUACGCUCCUCAAAAGAUG